AUGGAUAUUUCCUUUUGCAACAUAGACCAUGUUGCGGAAACAUCCGUAGAAUUUUUUGCAGCAGAGGUCAUGUUACAGAAACUUUUUGUAACAAGAAUCAUGUUGCAAGAUCUGUUGUUGCAUCUCAGCUCGGGGAGGCCACACCUAUGGGUGUCGGUGCUCCUUCAGGACGUCAGCGACGUGGAACAAGGACGAAUGAUGGCGGACGUGGCGGCAUGGCUCGCAGAUGCGAGCGGUGCAGUUCGGCAGCUUCCAGCAUCUACGCCUGGUAGCAGGCCGCUGCACCGGCCACCUGGCAUGUCACGGACGAGGUGA
rnacentral:rRNA from 1 species